CCUUCUGCCAGGCUGAAGUCUGAAAUCAGAGCGUGGGUGGGCCCAGAUUCCCAGCCGUGCGCAGCAGCAGGUCUCAGCCCUGGCCCACGCCCGUCCCGCAGGAGGGUUGUACCGCUGGGCGGCCCGGGGCACGCGGGCUCGGACCGCAGGGCCGGCAGCCACCUCCCGCGGGGGCGGAGCAGCGCACCCCCGCUCAGCGCGCCGGGGCUGAGGGGUCGGUGUCCUAGGGCCAGCAGGGGCAGGAGCUUCGCGGCGCGGCGGGAAUCGACCUCCCGCUAAAGCGACCCCAGAGGCUGCAGCUGGGGAAGGCACAGAGAGCUGCUGAAUGACUUGAUAAGAACACAGGAACCUUGUGGAAGAACAGGGACCUGAACCCAUGUGUCAGGGUAGUUCCUUAACCAACAGACCCUACAGCAACAGACUGAUUAGCAUGAACUCAAGUUGAGAGGUCUUGGAAUCACAGCAGUAAACACAGUCGUGUGACCUUGGACAAGUCACUUUACCUUGCUGUGGCUCAGUUUCUCCAUCUGUAAAAUGAGAUAAAAAUAAUGAGGAAUCCCAGUAAUGAGAGUGGCUUCAAAAGUUAUUUUUCCUCCCUUGGUAUCCUGCUGUUAAUUUAAAUUUUCUCGUUAGACUGACCUCACACUUGGUAAGACAACUCCUAUCUUUUCAUGUAUUUAUACCUGCUCCUGUAUU